CUGAACCCACUACAACUUAUACCCUCACAGCAGACUUGGCAGGAGAAACUUUUACACCUGCCCUCACUGACAAAACCACCUCUGAAUUCAAAGAACUUGAAAGCCGAUUUAUAGAUACAUGCACUCAAAUAUACAGCAAGAAAUAUCCAACUCUGUUUCUUUCCUGCCGCGUGCAAAGAUUCAGUGCCAUACCAGCACGAGCAAAUGGAGUUAGAGCAA